GCCCCGACGCCACCGAGGAGCACGACCUGGCGCAGGCGCACGGCGUGCAGGGCUACCCCACCCUCCUCUUCUUCAUCGACGGCGUGCCCAGGGACUACUCCGGCGAGAGGACCAAGGACGCCAUUGUCGCUUGGAUCGGCAAGAAGCUGGGCCCUGCGGUGCAGAACCUCACCACCGUCGACGAGGCCG